AGGGCACCGCUCAGCCACACAGGCUGGAGAUUUCGGACAACCGUGUCGCGAGCAAUACAAUAGAGAGAGAGAAAAAAAUCCCGGUUGCGGCCGGAGUUCUAACGUAGCGCAUGGGAACUUGCUCCCACCUGUACUUUGCACCCGUACCCGUUUUUGUACCUGUUUUUUGCAUUCCGUUCUUUCUCUGUCUUUUAUCGAUGUUUAUUCACAGUCAGUCACGUUGCCAUGAAAGUGGACGCCUGCCAAGAAGAUAGAGAUGUAGAGAGAUAGCAUUCAUAUCGUACGACGGGAAACCAAGUUACUGUUUCUACGCGAUUCCAUCCACAGUGCUAUGCACACAGGAGAGCCAUGGAAUCCCAACGAAACGUGAAUUACAGCACGCGCGUCGUGCAAUCAACCAGCACGACGUGUGAUGUUUAUAUCUACACUCGUCCCGUAGAUACGCCUACAUCACGAUUCUGGUUUAAGUCGUCUUCUCCGUCCUGUUUGGCCUGCAACCGGAUUUCACACUGGGCAUGUUUCUUCUUCUAUUAUGAUGGAUCCGUGCUGCGAUGCGAAGCCGUAAAGGACCCCGAGACGGAAGCACUUAUUGGAUCCGCCGUAGUAAUAAGUCACCGCCUUCUGAAGGAUCUCAGGGGCUUUUGGUAUCCGCUGCAAAAGGGUGCUGACGUUUCAAUGGAUCGUAUAACUCAAGUGGUGAACAAGAUGAACGUGGACGAGGCUCAAAAGUACGACGUCACUAGGAACAACUGCCAGAAAUGGAUCAAGCGGAUGCUUCAAGGGAUACGUCUGUCAAUGAAGUCAUCGGUAUCGAUACGACCAGUUGUUCUAAAGUGCCUUAAGGAAAAUGCUCGAUGCCCCAUUGUUCUAAAUUCCUUCACGGAUGAGGUCGCAGGAUCCUGACUGUGCCUCCUGCAUUGAGAAUCCUCGUCACAUCUCCAGAAAGGCUCGAGUUAAAUAGCUAUUAUUAGUCCGAUCGACAGUGGCAAAAGUGGUCGUUUGAAGUUGACUGGAUGGUAAUAAAGACAUCCAACCAGAGAAUGUGCUAAAGGGCUGAUUAUUGGAUAUUGCUGAUCAGUACCGGCGAGAUCCUACUAUACCGUUACACGUCUGUGACCGUUUGGUGACGUCUUUCAUUUGCCUGAAGGGAGUGAAUACUUUUGAAAACAGAGCUGUUUGGGGCUUCCACAAUCUUCCAUUGUAUUUAAAAAAUAAAACUAUCGGUCAUCAUUGAA